GACCCCUGCCAAUUCCAGCGGCCAUUUUACGCGCCCCCCGCCCUCCGCCCUCCUCCAUUUUCGCCGAUCCAGAUACUCCGGUCGGGGGGCCGACGAGCAGGAGCGGAAGGGCGGCGGAGAAACGCCGGCGACGACGGCGCAGGUACCUGCAGAGAGCCACAGGCUUGGACGCUGGGAUCAGUAGACUUUCCUUACUGAAAUUGGAAUGCACAGUUUAACGAGCCCAUUUCUCAGGGCCUGAUGCAUUCAAGGUUCAUUAGCAUAUGUUUGAGAUGUUGAUUGAGAUUGUGUGCAUCCGUUAUCUGCUAUAAAGCUUGAGUCAGAGGAUACUCAUUUCUAGUGGAUAACACUUCACGACUUCGCGUGGCUUCUGUAUAUUGUUUUGGCAGAGAUCAUGGAGUGCAACAGAGAAGAGGCCUUGAGGGCUAGGGAAAUUGCUGUACAGAAGUUGGGAAAGAGAGACUUCAUUGGUGCCCAAAAGAUUGCACUUAAAGCUCAAGUGCUGUUUCCCGAGCUUGAGAAUAUAUCUCAGGUGUUAAAUGUCUGCAAUGUACACUGUGCAGCAGAGACAAGGGUGAAUGGAGAGCUGGACUGGUAUGCAAUCCUUCAAGUGGAGCCAACAGCAGAUCAUGCUAACAUAAGAAAGCAAUACCUCAAGCUUGCCUUUUCACUCCAUCCUGAUAAAAACUGUUUUCAUGGUGCUGAAGAUGCUUUCAAGUUGGUAGGCGAUGCUCAUAAAAUACUGUGUGAUCAAACAACACGAUCUCAAUAUGACAUCAGAAGGCAGAAUGCUUCCAGGAAAGCGCCAACGCAAGCUACACAGCAACAGAAGAAGAGUGACACAAGUAAACAGAAUGUUCCUGGAUAUGUACUGACCUUUUGGACCAUAUGCUCCCAUUGUCAGGUGCGGUAUCAGUACCACAUCCGUGUCUUGAAUACUCUGAUCCGAUGUAUGAACUGUGGAAAUAAUUUCUUUACAUACAAAUUAGAGGAACAGUAUGUGUCAACUUCAUCGGGUGUAUACACUAGUUCUCAAGUUCCAGCAAAGACGUUUCCAAGUCAACAAGGCCGGCCUGUGAAGCUUCCUUCUGCACAGGGGACCACAGAUGUGAAACCAAGAGUAAAUGUUGCCCGAUGUAAUGAAUACAUGAAAGGGUUUAGCAUUCCAAGCACGAACCAGAAAGCUAAUCAGUCAAGAACAGCAAGGGGGACAAGUCAUUUUCCAGCAAUGAAUAAAGAUAAACCUUCCGUACCACCGGCUGCAAAUGAGCAUAUGGGUGGAUGGUCAAUACCAGAUCCUGCUAAUCCAGACAUCAUUGGGAGACAGAAGUCAUGCACAGAAGAGGCAUCUGCAGCUCCAAAUGCUAUGAAUAUCCCAGGUCCUGUGAAGCUUUCAUCUACAGGUGCAAACUUAUAUAUGAAAGCAAGGAUUAAUGUGGCACAAUGUGAUAUAGAUGGGCAUGGUAGUGCUGGUGGUGAGAAGGAAGCUAACCGGUCAGAUAGUAAGAGGGGCAAUGUUGAUAUUCCAGCAACAAAUACAAGUAAUUUUUCUGCCCAAACUGCACACAGGAACACAGGUGUGGGAGGCAUGCCAGGUCCUGCUGAUCUAAAUGUUGUUGAUAGAAAGAACUUAGGUAAAGAAGAUGUAUCUGCAGUGCAAAAUGCUGCGGAAUCCCCCAGUAUCCGGAGAUCAGCUAGGAGAAAGCAAGAUGCUGAUGGCAGCAGUAGCAUGAACUCUAAUAGCAAAAAGAAGCAAAGGAAGAAUGAUUUUCCAUCUAAUGCUGACUUGAAUUUGAAGCAAAUCUUUGAUGAUAACGUCUCUAAUGCUGUGAGGCAGUCAGUUCCAUCUAACGUGCCCAGCAAAGUAGACAUCCAAGCGAAAGCUAAAACUGCUAGGAAAAAGCAAGGUGCUGAUGGCAGAAGUAGCCUGAACUCUAAUAGCAAAAACAAGCAAAUGAAGAAUGAUUUUCCAUCUAAUGCUGACUUGAAUUUGAAGCAAAUCUUUGAUGAGAACGCCUCUAAUGCUGUGAGGCAGUCAGUUCCAUCUAACGUGCCCAGCAAAGUAGACAUCCAAGCGAAAGCUAAAACUGCUAGGAAAAAGCAAGGCGCUGAUGGCUGCAGCAGCCUGAACUCUAAUAGCAAAAAGAAGCAAAGGAAUGAUUUUCCAUCUAACCCUGACUUGAAUGCUGCAAGGCAAUCAGUUCCAUCUAACAUGCCCAGCAAAGUAGACGUCCAAGAGAAUGCUAAAUAUACAGAUAUAGUUGAUCAGGACAAUAUGGAGGCAGAAGUAACAGAUACUGUUGGCCAGGAUCAACCUUGCUAUUCUGAGAAGCUUUCUUUCCCUGAUGCAGAUUUUUUUGAUUUUGAGAAACUGAGGGAAGUUUAUCUGUUUGCAGUUGGUCAGAUCUGGGCCAUUUAUGAUAACCUUGAUGGCAUGCCAAGAUAUUAUGCUAGAAUAAAAAGGUUUGAUGCCUCCAACUUUAAAGUUCAUCUCACUUGGCUGGAGCAUGUUGCAGCGAAUGAAUCAGAAGAUAAAUGGACUGAUGAAGAACUGCCUGUUGCUUGUGGAAGCUUUAGCUUAGGAGCAACAGAAACAUCACAAGACAGGCUCAUGUUUUCGCAUAUUGUUCCAUGGACAAAAGGCAAAAAAAGGAACUAUGACAUACAUCCAGGCAAGGGUGAAAUAUGGGCCCUUUAUAAGGGAUGGAGCAUGCAGUGGGUAUCAGAUGCAGAUAGCCAUAGAUCCUAUGAAUAUGAAGUCGUCGAAGUCCUUUCAAAUUUCUCGUUUAGUGCUGGUGUUACGGUUGCCCCAUUGGUCAGGAUUAAAGGCUUUGUGAGUUUAUUUGCGACAGCUAAGGAUAAAUCCGAAUUUGUGGUAGCACCAAGUGAGCUACUUAGUUUUUCUCACAGCAUCCCGUUUCAUAGGACAGAUGGGAGUGAGAAAGUUGGUGUCCCAGGAGGGUUGCUGCAACUUGACCCUGCAUGUCUCCCCGUGGACCUGGAUGCAGCAUUUUCUUCUGUUACUCUGGACUCUUGCAUGUUUCCUGACAAGAAAAAGGGCAGCACAUUCAUUGAUUUGAGCACUCGAGACUCUUGCAUAUCUCCUGACAAGAAAGAGGGCAGUACGUUCGUUGAUUUGAGCACCGACAGUCCAAGCAGUAGUGGGAAACAUGAAGAUAUUUCUUCUGAGCAGAACACAUGCUUGCAGAAAAUUCCCCAUGGUCCUAAUGCUUUAGAUGACCUUUCUCAGCAAAAAUGCCCCUCCCUAAGUGUCUAUACAUAUCCUGAUUCUGAAUUCCAUGACUUCGAAGAAUGCCGCUCACGUGAGAAGUUUGAACGUGGACAAAUAUGGGCUUUAUACAGUGAUGUUGACAACUUCCCAAAGUUCUAUGGCUGGAUAAGCAAAGUCGAGCUGGAACCUUUCAAAGUGGAUUUGACAUGGCUUGAAGCUUGUCCUCAAGUUGGGCAGGAGAAACAGUGGUUGGAGGAGGAUAUACCUGUCAGCUGUGGUAAAUUUAAAAUUCGAAACUGGCAAACCAAGUAUGAGACAAAGGAUACUUUCUCUCAUUUGGUAUACACCAGGCAACUUGACGCAUCUUUGCAGAUUGAAAUUCUUCCGCAAGUAGGCCAGAUUUGGGUCAUCUACAUGAACUGGACUCCUGACUGGAUUCCGUCCAGCACUGAUGCUUGUGAAUUUGCUAUCGGUGAGAUCAUUGAGCGCACUGAAGUUAGCACAAAAAUUUCUCUUCUGACUAAAGUCAAAGGUUACACUGCGGUGUUCAAGCCUCGCAAGCCAAAGAGUGUUCUGGAGAUACCUACAAGGGAGAACCUGAAGUUCUCUCACCGCGUACCCUCGUUUCGUCUGACAGAAGAAAGUGGCGGCAAGCUCCGUGGUUUCUAUGAGCUGGAUGCAGCCUCCGUUCCAGAUGUUUUCCUGUACUAGGGUGCCACAUGACACGCUGAUGCCAAAUCACAAACCCUUCAAAUAGAUUAUGACUAGAACUAUUUUCAUAUACCGCUAUCAGUUUUUCUGGAGUACAUAUAUGCCAGUCAGCUUUAGUCUUAUUGGGAACCAUUCCAACAUGCCUCUGUUACUUGUGGACCGAUGUCACCAGUGCCAUCAAGUUCAAUUGCGAUACCUCGCCAGGUGCAAGAAGUCUUAUUCUUAGUGCAGGAGUCCUUGAUGCAUGGUGGCUGAAGUUUGCUGAAUGCAAGGUUUUCCUGCUUUGCCGCUAAGGAUUAGUUGGUCGGACGUGCUCAAGGAGGAAGAGAAUUGCAGAUUCUGUUUUCCCUGGAUCGGAGUACAUGUGUGGAGCAAAACGGCACUAACUAAUGGAAUGGUGGAAUCGGUCGAUA